AUGGCAUUUAUCAAUAGAUACCUUGAGGAUUUGGAAAUAGUUGCAGAACUUGCAAGCAAAUAUUCUGCCCAGAAAGUCCCUGCUACUAGUCCAAAGCAAGCUCGUUGGGUUCCAUCAAAAGGUUUAACAGUUAAAAUUAAUGUUGAUGGAGGCUUGGCACGCAAUGGUCAGAGGGGUGCCGCACCCGCGGUCUGCAGGGACAGUUCGGGACUUUUUCUAGGUGCUUCGGCGCUCGUUAUCAAGGGCCUGGUUGAUCCACCUGGUUUGGAAGCGUAAGCAUGUAAUGAGGCACUAGCUCUGGCGGGUGAUCUGAAUGUAACUUCGGUCCUUACUGCGUCAGACUAUUUGGAGGUAUUUAACAAUAUUAAUCAGGUUUGCUUCAGUUCUUUUGCUCCAAUUCUCCGGGAGAUUCAACAACGGAGGACCUUGUUUGGGAAUACGAUGGUCAAAUAUGAAGCCAGGGUUUUAAAUGACGAAGUGCACCGGCCGGCUAAAGCUUGUGCUGCUUCAGAUGUAGGAUGUCAUCUAUGGCUGGGUAGUCCUCCUUUUUGUUGA
rnacentral:rRNA from 1 species